rnacentral:misc_RNA from 1 species
AGAUUUUGAAUUCUUGGGAAAUUUAAGUGGUGAUCCUUAUACUCUCCAUACUAAUGUAUUUAGUCAAGGCAAAGGAAACAGAGAACAACAAUUUCAUCUCUGGUUUGACCCUACUGCUGAUUUCCACACGUAUUCCAUCACUUGGAAUCCGCAACGCAUCAUGUAAGUAGUUAAACAUUCAAACUUUCUUCAAAUCUAACACAUUCUUUUGGGAUAAAUCUUGAUUUGGGGUUCUCUUAUUUUUAUGGUUGAAACAGAUUUUAUGUGGACGGAACGCCAAUUAGAGAAUACAAGAAUAGUGAAUCGAUUGGAGUUUCAUAUCCAAAGAACCAACCCAUGAGGAUAUAUUCGAGUCUU